rnacentral:lncRNA from 1 species
UUUUUUUUCUGUCCUCACCUUUUUUUGCAACAUAGAUGUUGUUGCGGGAGGAUUUUUGCAACAUGAAUAAUGUUGCAGAAAUUUUUCCACUGAAAAGAUGAUGUCAUUUGCUAUGUGAAUCAAGAAAUUUAUGCAACAAAGUCAUUGUUGCGGGAGGACUUUUGAAACAAAGCCGUUGUUGUGAAAAGUAUAAAAAAAAGCAUCCUUAUUGGAGCAACGACGGAGGGCGAGAGCGGAGUCUAGAACGGCGCAACAAGGCUGAUGGUGACUGGAGCGGAGCUCGGGCGUGCAUGCUCAAGCAGCAGCCAUGGCUGAGAGCGGGCGUAAGGAGAUGGAGAAUACAUAAGGAAAGGAUAAGGGGACAAGGACACGUGUUGGACAUAGGAGGCGGCGGACGCGGUGCGUGUUAUCCGCCGGCUGAACAAUAGCAUUUUCCUAAUUUUAUGGUAAAAAUAUUUAUGUGAUGGGAGGAACAAUUUGUGUCUCCACAAAAAAGAACAUUCAUGUAUAUUAAAAUAAAUAUUCAUGUAUUUCAGAAAAAACAUCCACGUAUUUGUACAAAAAAUAUUCAUGUGUUGCAAAAAGAAAAGUUCAUAUAUGACAAAAAUAAGAUGUUCAUGCAUUCUUAAAAAAAUGCUCGUGUAUUUUAUAUAAAUGUUCUUCUAUGUUAAAAGAAAAUAUUGGUAUGUCUCAAGCGAGGUGUUCAUGUUUUUUUUAAAUGUGUCAGUGUUCCAAAAAAAAAUUACAUUUCAUAAAGAAAUAUUCAUGUGUUUACCCCCAAAUAAUGAUUUUACAAAAGAUAGAAUUGAAAAAAAAAUUGAAGUGAAAAGAAGACAAAUGUAUGUACUCGUACAAAAUUUGUCAAAGUAUUUACAAAAAAAUAAGGUGGAUAUAAUCCAAACGUUUUUACAUCGUAACAGAAGAACAUGGAAAUAUUACGAUCACAAAAUAAUGUUAAGAUGCCAUGCAAUGUACUCCCUCUGUAAACAAAUAUAAGAACGUUUAGAUCACUAAAGUAGUGAUCUAAAUGCUCUUAUUUUUUUUACGGAGGGAGUAACUAGUAAUUAAUGGGUUUCACCUCUAGCCUACCCCAACUUGCUUGGGACUAAAGGCUUUGUUGUUGUUGUUGUUGUUGUUGGAGUAACUAGUAAUUACUGAACAUAAAAGAACAGACUGAGCAGUCACUACAGCUUCACCAGGGCAUAUUCUCUUUUGGAAUAGACAUUUUUGAAAACACAAAUGACCAAAGCAAAGAUGGAAUCACCAACAGCAAGAGACAACCAAAACAGCAAGAGACAGCCAAAACAUCCGAUGAACCUUGGAGAUGCCCAUUUCAUUAUGCGGAACUAACAGGGAGAUAAAACGACGCCGAUAGAUAUCUCAAACUACGUUAGAAUAUAAGGAUAUAAUGUGGAGAUUAAGUAUAUUUUGUGGGGUAAAAAAAACUCCACUCUUCGUGUCGUGUGAAGUUUGGUCAAGUCCUAUAAUGAGCGAAGUACACAUAUCCUUGUCUGGUUUGUCAACAACACACUUCGGUUCCAUCAGAGAGCAGAGAUUAUUGGCAAACAGAAAUAACCAAAGCAAAGGUGGAAUAGAGUAGUAAUAGAGAACCAAAACAUCCCAGGUAAAAUCCUGGAGAUGUCCAUUUCAUUCUGCGGAAUACCUAGAUACAGGUCAGCAGAUAGGCAUCUCAUACUAUGUGCUCAGCCAGAGCCAGGAUCUUGAGAUGCUUCUUCUUCCUGAGCUCAUGGGGGACAGGACCAAAGACACGGGUGCCAAUCAGCUCACCCUUGUUGUUCACGAUCGCGUUGUCGUCGAACUGGACCUCGCUGCCAUCACUGCGCCCCUUCUUCAUGGCAGCACGGACAACCACCCCAUAGACCACGUCUCCUUUCUUGACCUUACCACGAGGCUGCGCUUCCUUGACAGAGCCGAUGAUCAUGUCCCCGAGCCUCGCUCCUUUCUUCCCCCUAAGGGACUGUAUGCACAUAACCCGCUUGGCUCCCGAGUUGUCCACCACCUUGAGGUUUGUUCUCAUCUGGAUGAAUGUUCUAAUUUGCUGAAACCAGAACAGGAACACGUGUUACCAAACUCUCUACUUGGAAAACAUCUGUGAUUAGAUAAGCAAUUAGUCCCUCUGUAUUAUAUUUCUUUACAGAGGGAGCACCUCAAGAAAAUUAUGCAUUACUCACUUUGAGCAAUUACCCUGUUAGUUUUGAAUCAUUCCAAACUCUUACAUUAUGGCCCUCUUCCAGUUUACAGAAAACAGAGCAAAAAAAAAGCUUAGAGAAUGCCUCAUGAAGAGAACCCCAAAGAAUGGAGUUCGGCAAGUCACAGAUAUCUAGCUUGCAACCCCAUUGUAGACAAUUAAGAAGCCAACCAAAGAAAAAUCUCAGAUCUUGGCAGCAAUAAUAACACAAGCUAUUCAACAAUUUAACAAACUGCCUAGUUAAUACCGGAACAUCGAUAUCGUCGGAGCAAUAGAAGAUAUACACAUUGCAUGGAACUUUUGAGUGCUCACGACAAAAAUUUACCACAUGACUUAAAAAAGGUCAUGUUGGUUGCAGGGGCGGAGCCCAUUGGGCUGACCCGUAUGCACAGGAAUACGGGUGAAAAAAUUCGCUAGCAGUGCCUAUUAGUUAAAAAGGCCGAGUGCAUCAGGGUGGCCCAAGAGCUGUGCAUCAGGGUUAGCCCGUUCCAGCCACUCCGACGCCUCCGGACUGGCCCAACACAGCAGUACACGCACGCACGACGGUUCGCUUGCGCAUCCACCAUUUCCUCACGUAGUUUUUGUCUAUGAAAAAAAAAAGAGAAUCUCCUCACGUAGUCACGUACGCAAACCUAAUCGAUCCACCUUUUUUUUCACUAGAAAAAAACUAAUCGAUCCAUUGAUCGAUUUGUGCAUUACGCGUACGAACCCAGCCUACCAUACUCCAUACGCCCCCUGCGCGUCGCCGUCCCACACAGCCGCCGGAGGCGGCAGCGGCAGCGCGCCGGCCGCCGGCCUCCAUGCAGCCUGGGUCCUCACACGGUGACGAAGCGACGCGUACGAGCAACGUUGCACGCCGUCCGGUGCUCGGUAAUUUCGCAUCCUUUUCAAAUUCCAAUCUUGAAUGUUCGUCUCUGUGUCCGCCAUAGAUGAUAAAUUACAAAAGGCCACAAUUGUGGUAGGGCCUUUGUCUUGCUUUUCCUAGUUUUGUUGAACUUCAACAAUCAUGUAUAGACUUGUAGUGAAUAUAAUAAAUCACUAUGUUUUGGUAAAAGUGUGGAGUAUUUUCUAGGGUUAUAACUUCUAAUUAGGUUAUAUUUUAUUUUCCUAUACAAUUCUCCAUGUCUCAUUUAUAAUUUAUAUUUGUCAAAUACAGAUACUAUGGACAAGUUUCUUCUCAAAAGAAAUGCACCAUCACAGCCAGAAGACAUAAAUUGGGAAGAGGAGAUUCAGUAUGAUCAGGGCAAUCGCCUCAAUGAUGAAAGUUUGAGUGAUGAUAUUAUUUGUUAUGUGGAGAAGGAAGAAAUGAAAAGGGCCACCAAUGCUCAAGUGGUUGAGUAUUUCAUGGCGGUUGAGUAUUUCAUGGCCUGGAGGAAUAGAAACAUACUAAGGUAAUUUUCAAUUUUUAGCAAUCUAAGUACUUUCAUUUGGGCUACAUUUCAAGUAGUUAUAUCCCUUGUUUUAUCAUUAUAGUAAGCAAUUUGAUGGCUACAUUUCGUUUUUACAAAUCGCUUCUAUUAUAUCCAAUAAUGUGUGUUAAACCUAUAAAACACACAUUUAUUCAAUACAUCCACGCUUGAAAAAAUUUAUGCCUUGUUAAAGUGGUGCAUCGGGUAAGAUUUGCUCCAGCUCCGCCCCUGGUUGGUUGGUUCUUAUGACUGAAAAAACAAGCAUUUGUGGUUUGAAGGAAGCAUCAAUACCUGGCAGACAGCAUCAGAACGAGAUGGUCUUGCCACUGUUUCAAUAGACGAGCUAGCGCCCCCGUACAGAUUGUUUCCAAGGCUUCCCAUCAUAGCACGUCCAACUACAUAGAACAAGAGAAGUGUUUGCAUCAUGUUAUUUUGCUAUAAGCAUCACUGGCCAAAAGAAUAUGCAACUGGUCACAUUUCAAAGGAAUCCAGAGAGAAAAUUUGACUAGAGCUUCCAAGAUACUCCACCUGAUCAUUUUCUUAUGGUGAGAAAACCAGCCAUAUCUUUCACAAUCAGUGAUGUGAGUUCUUUAAGCAUUUAAGUCAUAGGAGUUAACCAUAAACACCACAUGAUCACAUCCCUAAUAGAUAGUCAUUUACUCAAUUUUUGAGGCAAACACAUAAUCUGAAGUUUGGAGUGACCAAGGUUCAAGUAGCAGACCAUUCAGACAGAGGUGUAACCAGUACUCCCUCCGUCCCACAAUAUAAAAUAGCUUGAAAAAUGAUCUUAUAUUGUCGGACGGAGGGAGUAGCCAUGAUUUUUCUCCAAGGUUUUAACACACCAUGUUCUUCUCGCACCAAUGCCACCAAUCACAGAUUGUAUGUGAGCAAUUUUGAUCUUUGCAAAGAGUAAUAAAACUGACAACACAAAAACAUGACAUGGCGUGAAGAUGCAUGUUUGAUCAAAUUCCAUAUUAACCAACUCUUGCCUGCUACAAUAUCAAGUAACCGCUACGAGUAUCAAGACUGACUAAGGUGGUUCAGGUAGCAAGACUUUGAGAAGGCCCAGAAGUUAGCUACAGUACCUGACGAACACUUGGACCUGAGGAAUGCUGCCAUUUCACCCUGCUCUCUGCCUACGCUUUCCUGCACAAGAAAAUGGCUCAAAUUUUACAGCAACGACACCGCGGAUUCAUGCGCGUAGCAUCAGGGCCGGCGGAACCAAAUCUGGCGCGGAAAUCUUGGCGCGUAGAAAGGAACCGAAACGAACGGCGAGCCAGGCAGAGCUAGGGCUUCCUUACAACAAAAGGGCUCAGGCAACCGGAUGGAUCUCCGCUCCGCGCUGCUCCAGUAGAAGGGAGCGGGGGAGGAGGACGGCGCCGACGAGGAAGGAGAGCUCGAGCUGGCCGCUCCGGUGGGAGGAGGAGAGGAGAGGAGGAGGGUGGGGUUUCUGCCGGCGGCGCGCGACCUAAUCCCACAGCCCAUGGCAGACAUGAUCUGGGUGAAAUGGUAGCCCGGCCCAGCCCAACACGUCAGGCCUCUGUAAACACUUCGGGUCUUCCUCGGCCAAUAUUUAAGCCCAUGAGCCGGCCCGGGCUGAUCUUUUCCUCCUCCGAUCCCUCUCUCUCUCUGCCCCGUCUCCGGCGGACUUCAGUAGCCCCCACCCCCCGCCGGCCGCCGCAGCCCCCGGUUCCUCGAGGAUACUCCACGGAAGCAGGGCUCCAUGGCCCAGGGCAAGAAGAAGGCGGCGGCGGCGUCCAAGCCCCGCAAGCCGAAGCAGCGGGACGCAGCGGUAACGAACCACGCCCCCGAUCGACCGAUGCGUCGCUUCCGACCACUUGAUCGAUCUCCCGGCGCCGGAGGACUCAGGCCGCCUUUGGUUCUUUUUGCUCCGCAGGAGAAGAAGAUGGGGAAGAAGGCCGACAUGUCGGAGUUCAGGGCGCAGCUGGGCUCCUUCGGGCUCAAGAUAGUCGAGGUCACCGCAGACGGCAACUGCUUCUUCAGGUUUUCUUCAGAUUCUCUUUCAUCUUGAGGAAAGAUGGCUUCAGGUUUAGGCCUGCUGUCCUUUGAGUUAUAUGACUACUCAUCGUAGUCUGCAGGGCGAUGGGCGACCAGCUGGAGGGCGACGAGGGGCAGCACAUGAAGUACCGGGAGAUGGUUGUGCACUACAUCGUGGUAUAUAUGCAGUCAGACGACUCUUUGUGUGUACUGUAGCAAGUUACUACUUCCAAAUUGCAAUGUCAGUUAGGAUUUCAUGGUGGGGUAAUUAGGCAUGAUGCUGAAUACUGUGCACAGGGCUAUGACACUUUGUGAUGAUCCUUGUUGUGUCCAACUUGUAGGAACACCGCGAGGAGUUUGAGCCCUUCAUCGAGGACGAUGUGCCGUUCGAUGACUACUGUGACUCCAUGAUGAAGGAUGGGACUUGGGCCGGCAAUAUGGAGUUGCAGGCGGGAUCUCUUGUCACGGGAAGAAACAUCUGCAUCCACAUGGUAAUUUUCAGUGCAAGAUUGCCUUUCUGAUCCCUAUGAUUUAUACAAUAUAAGAUUUUACAGUUUGUAUAAGAUUGGUGUGCUACCUUUAUGCCCUUUGAUACUCUUCAAUGGAUGAUAGUUUUAUAUCCGUAAUAUAACUUUUGAUUAACACCUGUAUCAUUACUGUUUGUUUUACAGCUUAACUCACCACGGUGGUACAUAAACAACUUUUCUGGUCGUGAAGCUAGCAAUAUGGUUCACUUGUAAGUUAAGAUGUUAUGUGAUUAUGUAACUAAACUGUUAUUAUUGCUCGUAGUGGGCAUAGUUCUCAUGUACCAUCUAAUUUGUUUGAAUGCAGAUCUUAUCAUCACGGUGAGCACUACAAUAGUGUCAGGCUUACUGAAGAUCCAUGCCAAGGUCCUGCAAUGCCAGUUGUUAUCAAGGUCUUCUACUGCAAAAAUUGUUAACAGUUCUGUUCUAUUCUGCUCUGUUCUGGGAGAACAAUGGACUACUGUUGUCUUUGGGGACCACUGACUAUGCGUUUACUUACUGUGGUCGAUUUAUGUUUUUUAUUAUUCAAUUGCAGACAGAUUCCAAUGUAGCCAGCACGAGCAACAAUGCUCAAACGAAAGCUAAAGACUCGAAGAAAUCUUCAAACAGAUCAGCCUAUGAUGAUACAUCAGUUAAAAUGGUCAUGGCCGGAACUGGCUGUUCUAAUGUUGCUGCUGUUCAACAUGUAUGGAUUGCAUGAUUAACUUUGAAUAUUGCACUGCAUGUGUGCACUUGAUUUACGUUGAUUGUUAACAGUCAUUAUCUUUGGAUGGCAUUAAUAAUUCUUUUGCAGGUUUUGGGUGAAAUGGAUGGCGACAUCGAUUCUGCUAUUGAGUACAUGAUAGCCGAGCGACAUGCGGCGGCCUAUGAUGAUACAUCGGUUAAACUGGUCAUGGCUGGCACUGGAUGUUCUAGUGUUGCUGCAGUUGAACAUGUAUGAAUUUUAUGAUUAAUUGCCAUUAUUGCAUUGCAUUUCUGCACUUGCUUUCUGUGAUUGUUAGCAAUCAUUAUCUUUGGACGUCAUUAGUAAUUGUCUUGCAGGUUUUGGGUCAAUUGGAUGGCGAUGUUGAUUCUGCUAUUGCGUACAUGAUAGCCGAGCGAUUUGCAAUGAGUUCUGAUAAUGUGGACGGAGAUCCUUAUAUGGACUAUGCGGGAAAUGGUAAGCCUUGAACUACUCUGAAGUGACUAAUAAAUAUGGCCUCUGUCUUCACAACAGUUUUACAUCGUAAUGCCACUAUCUAACCCAUUUGGGAUCUUGAUCUGGAUCACCAUAUUGGACUUGGGGUGGCUUCUAGUGAUUGAUAUCCCCAUCUUUUCCAAAGACUUAGAACUCAUAAAUUUUCCUAUAAAAAAUCACUAUUUUGGUUACAAAUGCAGUUUUUAGAGUGAAGUCCUGUUCCAGUGUUCUUAGCUUUUUGCUGAAAAAAAAAUCCAGUGUUCUUAGUCCAGUUCACUUAAUGUUGUGUCAGCAUUUCUUAUUCACACCUGAAAUUUCCAAAGGUUUUAAUACUGUGGAUGAUUUGUAAGUACUAGGUAGUAAGCUGAUUGGUGCUAUCACAAUCUAGAUGUUCUGGGUGUGUGCUUCACGUAACCAUCUGCUGCUUAUUAUGAAGAAAACACUCCUUUUCUAGAAUAAUUGUGAACACAAUACUGUCAAAAGAUAGUUGGGAAUGCUCAAUCAUUCAUGGGUUUUUGCCAAAGUAUAGGCUACUUUGCUGUUCUGCAUGCCUUUUUCAUAUGUUAGUUAACAUUCAUAUAAUUGGUAGAUCUGUACUAAGAGUUGUAUGUGAUAACCAGAAAUGUUGCACUAUAGACUUGGGUAAAAAUUGCUAUUUUUUGGUGAAUUGCUGGUUGUUGUGAAGACAACUUCUGGCAAGGUAAUAGAUGUUUAGGUGAUAUCUGAGAAGGGCUGUUGUUGUGUAGACCUUGAAUAAAUACUUACGAAAGUGAACGUCAACACUUUUAGCUUCUAUCUGAGUUACCAUCCUUGUUCAACUAAGGUUUGGUUCUCUAAAUUGAUUUCAAACUGUUAAGGAAAGAAUAUAUUUUACCAAGUAAAUAGUAAGAUGAAGGAAAAUUCAGUACACUAGGUACAAUAGUAUCAGGUCUCCAGAAAUCUCGCAUGUAGGAAUUGUAGGAUUUAUUCUUUUAUCGCAUUGGGAUGUUCUGAAUUCCUGAAUUGGUUAAUUCAGGAACAGUUGGAUACUGACUCGUUCGUUUACUGUGCAUAUUUCCUGGAUGAUCAGAGUUUGUAUAUUCCGUAGGAGAUGAGCUUAAGCUUAGCACAUCCCAGAACGAGGACCAAAUGGUUGAACACAAGGAAGAAGAAAGUUGUUCUAGUAAAGAUGAAGCGGUUCAGGAAUCCAAAAAUCCACAUGCUAAGAAGGUAACUACCAUGUGAACAUCUCUUGACUAAUGUUCCCAAUGUUAAACUGCCUCACAUUCUUCCACUAUGUUUAAUAAUAAUGAGAGUUACCCCUUGUGCUUUUAUACAGGAAAACUCAAAAACGAAGGAGUGCUCUUGUGGAUCUGCAAAGAAGCACAAGGCUUCUUGUAGUUUAGCCACGGCUGUACCGUCAAGAGAACCUCCAAAGUAUGACUUCUGAAUGUUCCCAUUCUCUCUUGGUCUUUUUACUGCUUGUGAGCUUCUUUUCUGUUUCUUCCAUGGCAAACAUUCUCUUUUUUUUAGAUAGGCAAACAUUCUUCUGAUAAUUUCGUGUAGAAAAGAAAAACAUCACCAGUUUCCUUGCACGCUGCAUGUCUGCUUUUUCUUUGUACAAUGUUGAAUUGAGAGAGUAAAUAAAGUAUAAAAACACUGAUAAUGCUCGCCUCUGUUUGCUUGACGCCAUCAGGAACAAAGGCGGUGGCCAAGGGAAGGGCCAGAAAGGGAAGGCGAAGCAAAAGAAGAAAGAACAAGUCCAGGCAGCACCCGUCAAGGAACGCAAGUCUGCAUUACCUGUGCCAGACCUAGGGGCCCUGUGCAUAUGAACACUCAUUGAUGUCCAGCACACUCCAUUGAGAGGUUUCGAAGAGGCGCAUGUGCUCGCCUAGCCAUGGCUGAACCGCGAGGCGUGGACCAACGGGGUUGCGAUGAUUCCUCUCGCUUGACCGGUAUCAUUGAGCGAAUGCCAGCCAUUGCUGACUGACAGUUUGCUCUUGUGAUGCUAGAUCCUAGCAGUAGGAUGUAUAGGGGCGACGAUGAUGUCUGCUAAUGGGAGGCGCAUUCACAUGGGUACAUUAUAUACGACACUGAUUUCCAUUGGUGAAACCUCAGUUGUGAUCAGUGAGUAUGAACAUUGUGAUUAGGUUGUGAUCAAUGCUGUCCUGAUGCGGACGAAAGAGGCAUAAAUAGUCCUUUGAUCUUCGGAAGUGUUGCUCUAAUCCCAAGCACAAAUGCACAAACAGUAACUUCCACACAAAAAAAGGGUCAAAGAUAAAAAAAUAAAAACAAUCCUAAUAUUUUUGUGGGUGUUCAACAAAUAUUCUGACAUUUCUAGGUGACUUUAGUUUUUACAGGAUGUUUGAACAUAUGUUGAUGUCCAUCCAAAAAAUCAUAUUUUAAAAAUUGUGUAGUAUUUUAUCAAAUUUUGCAUGAUGUUAGAAAUUAUUGCAUUUUGUUUAGAUAUCAAUCCAAAGGAAAUUAUGCGGAAGCUUUGCAAAAUUAUUAUGAAGCUACGCGACUAGAAAUCGAUCCCUAUGGCUCAAGUGUUCUUGACUUCGUAGCAAGCUUCCAUUAACUUACAUUUGCUCCGAAUUAUCACUUGAUGCUCUAGAGCAAAAUUUGCAUCAAGUGCUAUUUUUACAUCUACUAGAGCAAAUCUGGAGUACAAAUAUUUGCAUCUACAUCAUCUAUUAGAGAUAUAAAUCUUGCAAGAAACGGUGUCAUUUAUUAAUGACUUGGCUCGGUUGCUCCUGGUUAUCGCCACUAUUAGAGAUAUAAAUCUUGCAAGACACGGUGUAAUUUAUCAAUGACUAGACUCGGUUGCCCCUGGCAAUAUUUCGCUGAAGCGUAGUGUGUCCCAGUGAGAAAUGUGGAACAUCAAUCAGGUUUGCUACUUAUCAUCGUCGUGUGGUGCAUCUACAUAGUGCAAAACAGACUCUCAAGUCUGAACAUGAUGCUAGACCGCAACACAGCAUUAGACCAAGCACCAUCUUGACGUUUCGGUCAUAGCAUGUACGUAGUACCAAAGGAUGAAGACUAGUGCAAGAUUUUUUAUUUUUUGCUCGUUUAACGACUAUAAAGUUCCCUUCCGGUAAAAAUUGGACUACAAAAGCGCUACAAAGACCCCACGGUGAUGUUGUUCUUCUACACACAGUAACUUGUCAAGUUUCUGAUCACAAAAAGGGGAACAUCAUAAUGAGAGACAACUAAUAAAUCAUGGCACCGGCGCGAAGGCAGGCGGCCUCCUCUCAUCCUCACCAUCCAUCUAGAGCUCAUCCUGCAAAAGCAAAUUGCAAGGCAAGGUGGGUGAGGAAACAAGAACAGGAGAACAAAUUAUAAAACGGAAAACGCAUGAACAAAAGGAAGGGAGCAACUUACGUGCUUCUCGUCAUCAGACUCGACAUCAGACCCAGCCUUGUCAUCCUUGUCCUCAUCAUCGGCAUCCUCAUCCUGUCAACAAAGACCAGAUAAGUUUAGGUCUAGCUAAUCAAGAAUGUUCUGAGAGGUAAUAACAUUAGGAUUCAGGCCAAAGCUUACAUCCAAGUCAUCAUCGUCCUCACCAGCCUUGGAAGCAUCCUGGUAACAAACAGGUAAUAUUGACAAUCAAUAACGAGCUCACUCACACCAAACAGUACAAGUCUAAUAGUAGCAACCACAACAAUUUAGGAGAAAGAGUUCCAGUAACCAAAGAGAAGACGUGCUGCUAUUCAUAGGCACAACACAACAGACAUAUACCAGAAACAGAUGAUAUCAAUUAGACUUCUGGUCAUACUAUGGUUGCAUUUAUUGAAGUGGGGGAUAUAUGUAGGACUAAUGGUAGUGACAGGACAGGACCUAAAUCUGUUCAGAUUUAAUUUAGCUUCCGCAGGACCGGCAGGAAAUUAUGAAAUAAAGCAGCCAUGAAAGAGGGAGAGAACGUAAAAUGGCAUGCACGCUAACACAAAGAUUGAUAAACAGGAACAUAACAAAGCUAAUCAUACUGAAGCUGAUACCCAUGCAGCAAUUAACUAGGC